UACGUAGGGGGCUAGCGUUGUCCGGAAUCAUUGGGCGUAAAGAGCGUGUAGGCGGUUCGGUAAGUCGGCUGUGAAAGUCCAGGGCUCAACCCUGGGAUGCCGGUCGAUACUGCCGGACUAGAGUUCGGAAGAGGCGAGUGGAAUUCCCGGUGUAGCGGUGAAAUGCGCAGAUAUCGGGAGGAACACCUAUGGCGAAGGCAGCUCGCUGGGACGUUACUGACGCUGGAGACGCGAAAGCGUGGGAGCAAACAGG
rnacentral:rRNA from 1 species